rnacentral:lncRNA from 1 species
GAAGACAGGUCACCGCAAGACUGGAUGCUUGAAUAAUGGGCCGACUUAUUUUAACUACGGCGAGUAGGGUCACAUCAAUACAUAAUGUCAUAAUCCAAGGAAGGCGUUGGCUGCUAUUGCUCAGACUAAUGGUAGAGUUUUUGCAUUGAGUGGUGCAGAUGUCUCGAAUUCAUAAAAUUUGAUUCGAGGUACAUGUUUUAUUUGUGGUGUUGAACUAAUUUCUAUGAUUGAUACUAAUGCAA